UACAGAGGUCUCAAGCGUUGUUCGGAUUCAUUGGGCGUAAAGGGUGUGUAGGUGGCGGGGUAAGUCGGAUGUGAAAUCUCCGAGCUCAACUCGGAAAUGGCAUUGGAAACUACCUUGCUUGAGGGUUGGAGGGGGGACUGGAAUACUUGGUGUAGCAGUGAAAUGCGUAGAUAUCAAGUGGAACACCAGUGGCGAAGGCGAGUCCCUGGACAACUCCUGACACUGAGGCACGAAAGCUAGGGGAGCAAACAGG
rnacentral:rRNA from 1 species